rnacentral:lncRNA from 1 species
AUGAACAGGGACUGUGGACAGUUACUCAACCAUCCCUAUUAUACUGCCCCAUCAUUUGUACAAAUGGAGACAAUACUUGUGUUGAGAAGCUAAGUAAUCAGAUUUGAAAAAGGAAACAGCUGUUGCUUAUCAUCAAACACAUUUUAAAUAGAACAUGGUUGUCCUCUUCCCUAAAAAUGUGAUUUAAAAAAAUGACUUCAUGUAUUUUGGGAAAACCUUCAUUAUCCCCUCAAAUUCAGCAUUCCAAUGGGUAAUAAGUUGAACUUUGAUAAUAAAUCUGGACUAUUAUGUGCAUGUUAUGCUAAAGGAUAUCAUGGAGAUGAUAAAGGAUUGUUGACAAAGAGAAUAGAUGCAGCUGAGACUGGCAAGCAUUUCUAAAGGGACCACUCCACUCAUGAAGCCACCCUCUGAAACUGGUAAAUCCUUCUGGAGCAGAAGUAGAAAUGAUAUAAACAGGAUGGUUGCAUUUCAUCAGAGUGGGUACCAUCUUGGCAUGUGCUGAAUAAAGAGAAAAUUCUGAGUCCUGGGAGAGCCUUGUUGUAUUAGGUCAGUCAUGAGGACAGAUUCACAGGAAGAACAGGAUUUCUAAGACUCCACAGAGCACAGAAUAUGGGAAACUGGAAUGGGAAGAAUUAAGAGUAGACACCUACAGCUCAGAGAUUUCAACAAUGUGAAUUUUCCUGAUGGUUGAUGUCUAUGGUACUCCUUCCCUUCCCUUCCCUUCCCUUCCCUUCCCUUCCCUUCCCUUCCCUUCCCUUCCCUUCCCUUCCCUUCCCUUCCCUUCCCUUCCCUUCCUUUCCCUUUUUCCCUUCCCUUCUUCCCUUCCCUUCCUUUCCUUUCCUUUGCUUUCCUAAAGGAGAAAUUGAAGUGUGGUCUGACUCUCAGAGUAUAUGCAAAGGUAUUUGAAGAUACUGUAGAAGGAGACUGAAGAUUUGAAGCAAGCAGAAUCCUGACAAAGACAGGAAAGUCCUGCUGGCCUGGGAUUAUGGCAGAGCUGAAGGAAGCUGAGAAGGUCCUUUGCUUACUCAGGAAAUGCUCAGUGUCAGUCCAUUUGAGUUAAAUAAAACAUUCCAAGGAAAUAAAUAACAAGAAUAUAAAGGAAGGUGACCUUAGAAAUAGACCCCAGGAGUCAUGGGCUUCAAAGUUUAUAGAGCUGUGUUAGCUAAGCAGGUGAGGUGAGUGAAGGACAUGGUAGAGUCAAUAUGAGAACACCCCAGGGAAUAGCAGUGGGAUGAGAAGCCUGCAUCCUGGCAAAAGGAUAUGUUAGGAAAUUUUACAAGGUGCUUCACAUGCAAACUUUUGUCAAGUUUUGUGGUAGGAAGAACAGAUUAUUGACAGAAUGGUCCCAGAUGCCAAUAAGAAAGAUGGAUCAAUUAUCCUCUCAUGCCUGAGCAAAUGGACCAGAUUGGACUUCUGUAAGAAUUUAAUACAGAAUGGCAUAUGGCUAAGGCAGAGUAGAAAGAAGGCUGCUGCUGUUGUUGUAUUGUUUCUAUUAUUCCUCAAAAUAGACAGUAAAGAGGAGGAAGAGUUGGUUCAAGGUAGAAAAACAUUGGCAAGUGGAGACAUUCAAAAGUUCAUAUGUAAAUAGGCUGCCUUGGGAAUGACACACACAACAGUAAUCUGCUCUAGGGUGUCUCUCAUGAGAGUAAAGAGGAGAAUUUUGAUGUUAGUGAUGUAAGAUAGAUAAACAAGGUAAAGAAUGAUUUGAGACAUUUGUUGAAUAUUGUGACCAUGCAAAAUAUCUUUUCUUUUAAGUUAGGAGAUUACACCAUAGAUAUACAUACAUAGAUACACAUGCAGCUUUGUUUUGCUGUCCCCAAUAUAGCAGGGCUCCUAAUAACUCCACAAUGAUUAGUUACUUGUCCUCGCUUCCCCAAGUGACAUAAUUCAUGCCCUACUCCCUGUACUUAUACUUGAGGAAAGAACAAAGCACAUUUGACAACGUGUAAUGCACUCAACUCACUGUCUCCUUUAACUUUAAUAUGACAUUAAAUAUGUCAUUUCCUACAGAUGCUAAAUGUGACUUUUUUCUCUCAAGCAAUACCAAUAAAAAUUUUAGAGUAGAAAAAUAUAGUAGGUAUUUAUUUUCUUCCAUAUUUCAUGCCCAAGGCAACAGACAUGAUAAUCCUAAAUGUUGUCUUGCUGGUGCAUGGAAAAUCACAGAAAUUCCACAUUAAGCCUAUAGCAAUGACCAUAACAAAAGUCUACAAAAUAUGUGACAUGAAACUUGUCCAUUAAUAAAUUAUUUGUAAUUUAUAUUUACCCUUAAAUAAUAUUUACACUUAAAUUAUCAACAUAGCACAGUAGAAAUAUACCUCUAGCUGUCUGCAUACCUGCAUGAACAUCAACUGAUCAAAGCAGAAACGUCCUUCAUGUUCUAAAUCUUGUUGAAUUAGAACCAUUUAGCAUCAGAACAGUUUCCCUGGCUGUGAGUAUAGGAGGUUUUCGUUGGUUUCCCCUGGGUCAUUAGCACUCAUGAUUUGCAUAGUUUCCCCAGCACAGAAGAGACAUGUCAUUCCUAACACAGUGAAUGGUGUUGGCUUGAGGGCUGGAGAUACAGAUAGAUAUUCUAGUCAUGAUAAUUCCU